rnacentral:rRNA from 1 species
UACAGAGGUCUCAAGCGUUGUUCGGAUUCAUUGGGCGUAAAGGGUGUGUAGGUGGCGCCGUAAGUCGGGUGUGAAAUUUCGGAGCUUAACUCCGAAACUGCAUUCGAUACUGCGGUGCUUGAGGACUGGAGAGGAGACUGGAAUUCAUGGUGUAGCGGUGAAAUGCGCAGAUAUCAGGAGGAACACCAAUGGCGAAGGCAGCUCGCUGGGACGGUACUGACGCUGAGACGCGAAAGCGUGGGGAGCAAACAGG